GCUGGGCGUGGUGGCGCGUGCCUGUAAUCCCAGCUACUCAGGAGGCUGAGGCAGGAGAAUUGCCUGAACCCAGGAGGCGGAGGUUGUCGUGAGCCGAGAUCGCGCCAUUGCACUCCAGCCUGGGUAACAAGAGCGAAACUCCGUCUCAAAAAAAAAAAGAGUAAGUUUCUCAACAAGAAGUAAUUAGGUGCAAGGUCAGACCUUUUUUUUUUGAGACAGAGUCUCGCUCUGUUGCCCAGGCUGGAGUGCAGUGGUGCGAUCUUGGCUCACUGUAACCUCUGUCUCCCAGGUUCAAGCGAUUCUCCUGCCUCAG
rnacentral:sRNA from 13 species